ensembl:lncRNA
AUGCCAUGUUUACGUCAAUUCAUGUUCUUUUUCAGAGUGCUGGUGCUCUCCCUUUUGGCAUUUGGGCACAAUACAAAUGCACUCUACAGAAGUGGAGGCCCCAGUGGUACUAGGCCUCUCUUUGCUCAUCCACGAAGCCACAACCCUGAUUUUGUGUCAACUUAUGAGCGUUCUGUGCAGCCUGGAGGGUUUCUGGGUAGUUCUGGAUCCAGUCACGGUGGAAGUGGGCAAGUAGAUGGUUACAGUCCAUAUGGAAGUGUUUCUAGUUACGUGCCUGAACCACAGAUCCUUAGGAAACAAAACUCUCAGCAGCCGCCUAAAACUAACCCCAAUGCAAAUGGUAGAUUCUCGACCAAAGGUGGCAACUGGGAUUUGGCCCCUCAAAAUGGAAAAAGUAUUAAGUCAGGUAUUGCUUCAAGUAGUGCAAUUAUUAUGCAAUCUGGUUCAGAGCCACACACUUUCAAUCCGGGCUACCUGCCAAAGCAGCCCAGGCCCCAGGAAGUGCCUACUUCCAAUACAGGCUACCCGCAGAAGCCGCCCAGGCCCCAGCAGCUGCCUAUUUUCAAUAUGGGCUACCUGCAGAAGCCGCCCCAGCAGCUGCCCACUUCCAAUACAGGCUACCUGCAGAAGCCGCCCCAGGAGCUGCCUACUUCCAAUAAAGGCUACCUGCAGAUACCACCCAGGCCCCAGGCGCUCUCCUCUUUUAACACAGGCUACCAGUCCAAGCCCCAGCAGUCCCACACUUUCAAUUCAGUCUACCAGCCCCAGAAAGCCGUGUUGCAAACCAAAGCUGGCAUGUGGGACUUGUUUUCAGAUCCUACCAAAUCAAAUGUUGAUUCAAGAAAUUCAAAACCAAUUUCAAUCGAAUCUCCGUGCCAUUCCAGAAGGCAGCGUCCACUGGUGCCGAUGUAAAACAUUUCCCUCACAGUUCCUGGCAUUACGUUUUUUGGGGGGAAAAAACAAUAAAUUACUUUGAACUGAAUUGUCUGCAAUGGUCAUUUGAAACCAGAAAAUGUAUGGUUGCAACUAUACCCACUGAUUUCUCUGGUAUAAUACCAUAACUGUAGUUUAUAAAAUUGCUUCAUACAAAUUAAAUUCCUGAAGUGAAUGAGAUUGAGCUUAAAUCUGACCUAGUUUCUUACUGAAGAAUCUUGGCCACUUUGAUGGUUUUAAAAUCUGUAAGCCCAGUAGUUACUGGCGGACAAUACAAACUGAACCCUUGUUCUCUUUAGCUCAGUAGCUAGGCUGAGUCACAGCUCUAUUGAAUGUACUUCUAAAACUGUAGGGCGCAACCCUCUAACUGGUAUACAGCCCAUUUUUAAUGCUUUGUAGCAGCAAGCAGUCUUAUGGCAGCCAGUAAUUCAGAUAAAAUAUCCUUCCAUUGAGGGCCUAUAUCUCCACUAAUGUUUAGCACAAGUUGCACAUUGUGUUUAAAAGAUGCAGGGUAAAACGCUGCCAAAAUGGUUAUCACAUUUUGCUGUUUAUCUUGUCAGUGCAAAUGGGUUAAUUAAAGCAAAUGUUUCUUCUGAACUAAAGCAAUAACGCUAUGUUGACGAAAUGAGCAACUGUUCUGUUCUUCGUACAGCGUUUCUCUAACAUGUUGACUUUACAAAAAUGUUCCUUCUAAAAAUCCCCAAUGAUUCACAAUUGAGCAAACUGAUCACAACCCAACCUUUCUACCAUGAGAGUUCAAUGAAACACAGAUUUUCAGCUGGGUGUUAAAGGAAUGUUUGGAAAUGCUCAUGUUUUGGCAGUACUGUUAGUCCAGCAAUAAGAUCUCACGUCUGAAACAUUCUUUUUUAACGUAACAGCGCUCACUAUGUUCAAAAAGAAACUUAAUUUUCUCCAUAUCCACAAUAACUUGUGUUCCGUUACAUCAGAUAAUUUUUACUCAUAUUGGGGAAAACUUUUGUAAUUCCCUGCCCAGGGAAAAUACAUCGAGACUAAGGUGCGAAUUGAAAUGGAGAUUACUGUGUCGCUGUUAAAUUAAUAGACUAACAAAAGGUUUGCAGUUUUUAUCACGUUACCCAAUCGAGAGCCUACAUUCAUGAAUGUCUUUUAGAGAGGUACUUAUUAAAACUCAUAUUUUCAUUCUGUAUGCUGUGAUUGUAUUGUUAGAAACUGGGGUGUUUCCGAUAUUUAGUUUAUUCUUAUCGAUAUAAAGGGUCCGUAUUUACUUUUUUAACCGCAUUGCUAAUGUGCAAAUCUCAAAUGUAGCUAACAGGCCCUUUCUUUCUAUGCAUAGGCUUCAUGGUGCAGAAACUUCCUAUGUCCCCUUGAAGGUGGACUGAAAAUGGCGUCCUCAAGGGGGUUGUUUAAUGCUGCUGCUGUUUUGCAUGACGUGAUGGUUAUUUAGUAACUCAGUGUCAAAUAAACUGUAGAUCAAAGCAUGCUUACGGCUAGGCUUACUAUGAUAGAUAGGUCUCUGCAGCUGCCAGAACCAUAUACAUGGGGCCUCUACGUUCCUUUGUCCCAUUCCAAAUAUCGUUACGUUAGUUCGCCAAAGAUCGCAACGACAAAAUUGCAGAACACAAACAGUCCUCACACCAAUGGGUGACGUUACGAUACCUCUAAUACGUACCCUUCUUAAAUACCCUCCAUCACUCUGAUAGAGCCUUCAGACCAGGGCUGAGCUGAAUACAUAUCCGUCGAAAAAUGUUCAAAGAAUUUAGUCAACAUAUUAUACUGCAACGAGGACGCCUCCAACUGUAAAGCUAUGGGACGAGCUGCACUCUAUUGGAGGAGGUGACAGUUAGAUUUGUGUGAAUAGUAAGCCACACAAGGGUUUGGGUUCAUGCCCUAUCAGAACGUUUUUUAGUGAAUUCCGUCUCUGAAGAACAGUAGCACAAAGACGCUUUGUGAAGAGGAUACCACCACAUCAGCAGAGCAGCAACGUGUUGCAAAGAAUAUUUUCUUGAAAUAUCAUGACCCUUAUUUCACCCUAAACUCAACCCAAAACCCCAAAAGCCUCUUAAUUCCCAAAAUAGUAACAAUGUAUUCGUUAGACUAGGAGCACGUAUGAUUUAUGGGGUUUUCUGAAGAGAAGGAAGUUGUGAAUCCAAGCAGAAAUCCUCCUUAUAGAACUGUGGGAUUUAAAAGUCAAGGGAUUUAAAAAUUCAACAUGCUAGGGCAAAUUUUAUAUUUUGUAUUGUCAUCUGGCACCUGAAUUUGUGUUUUCUUUUCCACAAACAAAUAUAUUUAUACACAAGUUGGUGCAGAAAAAACUCUAGGGUUACCCUAGGGUUAACGAAAUAAAGUCCUUGACUCGCCAUCUUUUAUAUGGAGUAAAUGUUCGUAGGCUUUUCCUGCCAGAGGCUGAUGUGGGAUACCCUCCGGUCUGGGACGUCAGGCGGAUCUGCUGACGAGGCUGUUGAAUUGAUCAGGGACCAAUUUGCUGCCUGAUCUUCCAUUGAGGCAGGUGACCUUCCAACCGGCGCACUUCCAGAGUGGGCGUGAGAAUCCGGUGCAGUCUAAAGAUGAAUUGCAGUCAUCAUCCUACCAAGGUUGCGUUGGAUGACCUCCCAACGACGUAGUAAUCAUGGAGGAUUGGUUCUGAUUAGCUGGCCCAUACAAAAAGUUUUAAACUGAUGAAUACACCUUUUAUUUAUUUGUCUGAAUUACACCGCACCACAUUUUUCUCUUGCUGUAAACUCGCAGCAGGCCUUUUAUCUUUUACUGAAAAAAAGGAGACAACUUUCCCUGACUCAUUGUUCAAGCCUUUCAGUGCAUGUAUGGAAGUAAAUAUGGGGCUUCGUUGAGUGUUUUAACUUUAACUUCAUGCCAUCAGUGUGGUUUUUGUCUGUAAGAUUCAGUAAUAGACAGCUGAUGCUGGGAUGCUUCAACGAGCUAUUAGGAGUGAUUGGCGGAGUUUUGAAAGUUUUGAAAGUUUUUGAAGUUAAAGUUAAAACACUCAACGAAGCCCCAUUAUUAAUGGACAUGGCUGAAAUUCGGUCAUCAUAGUCGACAAGCCGAAGUUGUAUUGGGGCGCUCGCUCCUUUUGCUUGACGUACGCUCCCGAUCUUGAAUCUAGAAUCGAUUGCUCUUCCUUGGGUUCCCGGAUGUUGCGGUUCGAAUUUUUUUGCAUUGAAUGUUUGCAUUGAUUUUUUUUGCAUUGAAUUUUUGCAUUGAAUUUUUUUGUAUUGAAUUUUUGCAUUGAAUUUUUUGCGGUUGAAUUAUUUGCGGUUGAAUUUUUUGCAGUUGAAUAUUUUAACGUUGAAAAACAUUCAGAUACAUGAUUUCAAUGCAUAAAUAUUCAGUGCUAGAAAUUUAGUCACCUUUUUCUUUCAAAAUCCGAUGACACAGAUGUAUGUGCAUAUUUUUGAACAUGUUACAUUGUUGUGGGAGCAGCACAUGUCACCUGUUUGAAAUCUUUGCACUAAGAUCAACAGUGGGAAUCUCCUUUACACACAUGGAGAGAUACGUACUCUGGGUUGUGACUGUAUUCAUGCCUACAUUUAUGUCUAUGCAUGAGUAUCUUUGUGACCAAUAUUAUUUUUAAGUAGAGCAUAUAAUAAGAGAUGAAACCUUUUAAAACAGUUAGAUGGCCGACAUGAUGGCCAAGCAGAAGGAGCACACGUUUCUGCAAUAUUUAUUAAUAUUGAUGCAUACAGACAUAUUUGCACACGGUUAGAAAUGUGCUCAUAAAGCGACAGUUGUGAAAAUUAAACCGCAGACCAAAGCGUUGUGGAAAACCAGAGUCUGAUCAAUGUGAGGCCCCCUUCAAUAAUUACCUCUGUGACAUGCAGAGGUGUAUGCACAUUUCCAUUCCAAUACGACCUUUUUCAGUUUUCGGGCAUUAGAAACAGGAAACUGUAUGUCUGACAAGAGGAAAAUGGCACAGCUAUUUUUGGCCACAUUCCUCUGUCAAUUUCCUGUUGCUGAGUGCAUCCUUGAUUGAGUGAUGAAGCCGGUAAUUGCAGGUCAGAGUGUGUUACGGUGAAAGAGGUCCUUGUGGUGGAUCCGGUUGUGGCAGAGUUAAAAAAAGAGGAGGAGAAAACAUCUUUUAACUCUCAGUGAUCUUCUAAAGUCUGUGCAGUGCUCAUGAUGAAAAGGAAUGAGGCAUGAACACAAAAGUUUCAGGAAAUAGCUUUGGUAGUCCGACACAAUUAGGACGAUCCACUGUGGUGGCGAUUGCAGUCUUUGUGUAAUCUUUACCCACUGCACUUUCUCUCACAUUUCUUUCACAUUUUCUUACACAUCUCCUCGAUGCGGUUAACACAUGUUAACAAGAGCAAGCAUCUGUCCCAGUGAGCUUAAACCGCUGAGAUGCUUAUACAUCAUUACUGCUCUUUAAAACUCUGUUUGCUAUUGUAUUUUAAAUAUUAGUGAGCUAGUGGCAACCCAUCAUUUUACACCUCUGAUUGGAUAUAAAUGAAUGGAAGCCGUCGCCUGGCUGAGCAUGCAAGUCUUUCCUGACUUUCAAACAGUUUAAUUAACAAACCGAUGACGACUCUAUACUUUUGAUGUAGAAAUUAUACUGAUUCAUGACAUUUUGCUGUGUAAGGACACUUUGAGGAUGGAGAUAUUCAGUACAAGUGCUAGGCAUUUAAUAAAGUGUGAUUUAAGUGAUUGAUAUUGAUUU